GUGCAAUGAUGCAUUUUAUUAAUCAACACAUCAUUCUGAAAACAGAUGUGUAGAGAAAUAAUAACUGAGCACA
ensembl:snoRNA SNORD63 Small nucleolar RNA SNORD63